rnacentral:rRNA from 1 species
UACAGAGGUCUCAAGCGUUGUUCGGAUUCAUUGGGCGUAAAGGGUGCGUAGGCGGCUCGGUAAGUCGGGUGUGAAAUCUCGGAGCUUAACUCCGAAACUGCAUUCGAUACUGCCGUGCUUGAGGACUGGAGAGGAGACUGGAAUUUACGGUGUAGCGGUGAAAUGCGUAGAUAUCGGAAGGAAGACCAGUGGCGAAGGCGGGUCUCUGGACAGUUCCUGACGCUGAGGCACGAAGGUCAGGGGAGCAAACGGG